rnacentral:rRNA from 1 species
GGGUUGUGAGGUUAAGCGACUAAGCGUACACGGUGGAUGCCCUGGCAGUCAGAGGCGAUGAAGGACGUGCUAAUCUGCGAAAAGCGUCGGUAAGGUGAUAUGAACCGUUACAGCCGGCGAUGUCCGAAUGGGGAAACCCAGUGUGAUUCGUCACACUAUCGUUAACUGAAUACAUAGGUUAACGAGGCGAACCGGGGGAACUGAAACAUCUAAGUACCCCGAGGAAAAGAAAUCAACCGAGAUUCCCCCAGUAGCGGCGAGCGAACGGGGAGCAGCCCAGAGUCUGAAUCAGCUUGUGUGUUAGUGGAACGGUCUGGAAAGUCCGACGGUACAGGGUGAUAGUCCCGUACACCAAAAUGCACAGGCUGUGAACUCGAAGAGUAGGGCGGGACACGUGGUAUCCUGUCUGAAUAUGGGGGGACCAUCCUCCAAGGCUAAAUACUCCUGACUGACCGAUAGUGAACCAGUACCGUGAGGGAAAGGCGAAAAGAACCCCGGCGAGGGGAGUGAAAAAGAACCUGAAACCGUGUACGUACAAGCAGUGGGAGCACCUUCGGGUGUGACUGCGUACCUUUUGUAUAAUGGGUCAGCGACUUAUAUUCUGUAGCAAGGUUAACCGUAUAGGGGAGCCGCAGGGAAACCGAGUCUUAACUGGGCGUUAAGUUGCAGGGUAUAGACCCGAAACCCGGUGAUCUAGCCAUGGGCAGGUUGAAGGUUGGGUAACACUAACUGGAGGACCGAACCGACUAAUGUUGAAAAAUUAGCGGAUGACUUGUGGCUGGGGGUGAAAGGCCAAUCAAACCGGGAGAUAGCUGGUUCUCCCCGAAAGCUAUUUAGGUAGCGCCUCGUGAACUCAUCUUCGGGGGUAGAGCACUGUUUCGGCUAGGGGGUCAUCCCGACUUACCAACCCGAUGCAAACUACGAAUACCGAAGAAUGUUAUCACGGGAGACACACGGCGGGUGCUAACGUCCGUCGUGAAGAGGGAAACAACCCAGACCGCCAGCUAAGGUCCCAAAGUCAUGGUUAAGUGGGAAACGAUGUGGGAAGGCACAGACAGCCAGGAUGUUGGCUUAGAAGCAGCCAUCAUUUAAAGAAAGCGUAAUAGCUCACUGGUCGAGUCGGCCUGCGCGGAAGAUGUAACGGGGCUAAACCAUGCACCGAAGCUGCGGCAGCGACACUAUGUGUUGUUGGGUAGGGGAGCGUUCUGUAAGCCUGCGAAGGUGUGCUGUGAGGCAUGCUGGAGGUAUCAGAAGUGCGAAUGCUGACAUAAGUAACGAUAAAGCGGGUGAAAAGCCCGCUCGCCGGAAGACCAAGGGUUCCUGUCCAACGUUAAUCGGGGCAGGGUGAGUCGACCCCUAAGGCGAGGCCGAAAGGCGUAGUCGAUGGGAAACAGGUUAAUAUUCCUGUACUUGGUGUUACUGCGAAGGGGGGACGGAGAAGGCUAUGUUAGCCGGGCGACGGUUGUCCCGGUUUAAGCAUGUAGGCUGGUUAUCCAGGCAAAUCCGGAUAAUCAAGGCUGAGGUGUGAUGACGAGGCACUACGGUGCUGAAGUAACAAAUGCCCUGCUUCCAGGAAAAGCCUCUAAGCAUCAGGUAACAUCAAAUCGUACCCCAAACCGACACAGGUGGUCAGGUAGAGAAUACCAAGGCGCUUGAGAGAACUCGGGUGAAGGAACUAGGCAAAAUGGUGCCGUAACUUCGGGAGAAGGCACGCUGGUGUGUAGGUGAAGCCCCUGCGGGUGGAGCUGAGACCAGUCGAAGAUACCAGCUGGCUGCAACUGUUUAUUAAAAACACAGCACUGUGCAAACACGAAAGUGGACGUAUACGGUGUGACGCCUGCCCGGUGCCGGAAGGUUAAUUGAUGGGGUUAUCCGUAAGGAGAAGCUCUUGAUCGAAGCCCCGGUAAACGGCGGCCGUAACUAUAACGGUCCUAAGGUAGCGAAAUUCCUUGUCGGGUAAGUUCCGACCUGCACGAAUGGCGUAAUGAUGGCCAGGCUGUCUCCACCCGAGACUCAGUGAAAUUGAACUCGCUGUGAAGAUGCAGUGUACCCGCGGCAAGACGGAAAGACCCCGUGAACCUUUACUAUAGCUUGACACUGAACAUUGAGCCUUGAUGUGUAGGAUAGGUGGGAGGCUUUGAAGCGUGGACGCCAGUCUGCGUGGAGCCAACCUUGAAAUACCACCCUUUAAUGUUUGAUGUUCUAACGUUGGCCCCUGACCGGGGUUGCGGACAGUGUCUGGUGGGUAGUUUGACUGGGGCGGUCUCCUCCCAAAGCGUAACGGAGGAGCACGAAGGUUAGCUAAUCCUGGUCGGACAUCAGGAGGUUAGUGCAAUGGCAUAAGCUAGCUUGACUGCGAGCGUGACGGCGCGAGCAGGUGCGAAAGCAGGUCAUAGUGAUCCGGUGGUUCUGAAUGGAAGGGCCAUCGCUCAACGGAUAAAAGGUACUCCGGGGAUAACAGGCUGAUACCGCCCAAGAGUUCAUAUCGACGGCGGUGUUUGGCACCUCGAUGUCGGCUCAUCACAUCCUGGGGCUGAAGUAGGUCCCAAGGGUAUGGCUGUUCGCCAUUUAAAGUGGUACGCGAGCUGGGUUUAGAACGUCGUGAGACAGUUCGGUCCCUAUCUGCCGUGGGCGCUGGAGAAUUGAGGGGGGCUGCUCCUAGUACGAGAGGACCGGAGUGGACGCAUCACUGGUGUUCGGGUUGUCAUGCCAAUGGCACUGCCCGGUAGCUAAAUGCGGAAGAGAUAAGUGCUGAAAGCAUCUAAGCACGAAACUUGCCCCGAGAUGAGUUCUCCCUGAGACUUUAAGUCUCCUGAAGGAACGUUGAAGACGACGACGUUGAUAGGCCGGGUGUGUAAGCGCAGCGAUGCGUUGAGCUAACCGGUACUAAUGAACCGUGAGGCUUAACCUUACAACGCCGAAG